GACGAACGCUGGCGGCGUGCUUAACACAUGCAGUCGAACGGAAAGGCCCUGCUUUUGUGGGGUUCUCGAGUGGCGAACGGGUGAGUACACCCGAGUAAACCGUCCCUUUCCCUUGGGUAAACUUAGGGAAACGGGGGCCAAAUCCGGGAGAGGCUCCCGUCGUCCGGGGGGGGGUUGGAAAGUUUCGGCGGUUGGGGAUGGACUCGCGGCUUAUCAGCUUGUUGGUGGGGUAGUGGCUUACCAAGGCUUUGACGGGUAGCCGGCCUGAGAGGGUGACCGGCCACAUUGGGACUGAGAUACGGCCCAGACUCCUACGGGAGGCAGCAGUGGGGAAUAUUGCACAAUGGGCGGAAGCCUGAUGCAGCAACGCCGCGUGCGGGAUGACGGCCUUCGGGUUGUAAACCGCUUUCGCCUGUGACGAAGCGUGAGUGACGGUAAUGGGUAAAGAAGCACCGGCUAACUACGUG
rnacentral:rRNA from 1 species